UACGUAGGGUGCAAGCGUUGCCCCGGAUUUAUUGGGCGUAAAGGGUGCGCAGGCGGUUCGGCACGUCCGUUGUGAAAUCGCUCGGCUCAACUGGGCGGGGUCAGCGGAUACGGUCGAACUUGAGCAAGCUAGGGGGGCAAUGGAAUUCUCGGUGUAGUGGUGAAAUACGUAGAUAUCGAGAAGAACACCAAUAGCGAAAGCACUUUUACUGGGCUAUUACUGACACUGAGAGACGAAGGCUAGGGGUAGCAAAUGGGG
rnacentral:rRNA from 1 species